UCCCUGGUGGCUCAGAUGGUAAAGCGUCUGCCUGCAAUGCGGGAGACCCGGGUUCGAUUCCUGGGUUGGGAA
rnacentral:tRNA from 1 species